CCUACGGGAGGCAGCAGUGAGGAAUAUUGGUCAAUGGGCGUAAGCCUGAACCAGCCAAGUCGCGUGAGGGAUGAAGGUUCUAUGGAUCGUAAACCUCUUUUAUAAGGGAAUAAAGUGCGGGACGUGUCCCGUUUUGUAUGUACCUUAUGAAUAAGGAUCGGCUAACUCCGUGCCAGCAGCCGCGGUAAUACGGAGGUUCCGAGCGUUAUCCGGAUUUAUUGGGUUUAAAGGGUGCGUAGGCGGCCUUUUAAGUCAGCGGGGAAAGUCUGUGGCGCAACCAUAGAAUUGCCGUUGAAACUGGGAGGCUUGAGUAUGUUUGAGGCAGGCGGAAUGCGUGGUGUAGCGGUGAAAUGCUUAGAUAUCACGCAGAACCCCGAUUGCGAAGGCAGCCUGCCAAGCCAUGACUGACGCUGAUGCACGAAAGCGUGGGGAUCAAACAGGAUUAGAUACCCUAGUAGUC
rnacentral:rRNA from 1 species